rnacentral:misc_RNA from 1 species
GAUGAAGAACGCAGCGAAAUGCGAUAAGUAGUGUGAAUUGCAGAAUUCAGUGAAUCAUCGAAUCUUUGAACGCACAUUGCGCCCCUUGGUAUUCCAUGGGGCAUGCCUGUUCGAGCGUCAUUUGUACCUUCAAGCUCUGCUUGGUGUUGGGUGUUUGUCUCGCCUCUGCGUGUAGACUAGCCUCAAAACAAUUGGCAGCCGGCGUAUUGAUUUCGGAGCGCAGUACAUCUCGCGCUUUGCACUCAUAACGACGACGUCCAAAAGUACAUUUUUACACUCUUGACCUCGGAUCAGGUAGGGAUACCCGCUGAACUUAAGCAUAUCAAUAAGCGGAGGA